UACAGAGGGGGCAAGCGUUGUUCGGAAUUACUGGGCGUAAAGGGCGCGUAGGCGGCCUGUUAAGUCGGACGUGAAAUCCCUCGGCUCAACCGGGGAACUGCGUCCGAUACUGGCGGGCUUGAAUUCGGCAGAGGAAGGUGGAAUUCCACGUGUAGCGGUGAAAUGCGUAGAGAUGUGGAGGAACACCAAUGGCGAAGGCAGCCUUCUGGGCCAACACUGACGCUCAUGCACGAAAGCGUGGGGAGCAAACAGG
rnacentral:rRNA from 1 species